UGCUGAGUUUCCUCAAAACAGCUAUUUUGAGUUCUCUUUCUGAAAGGUCACAUAUCUCUGUUUCUCCAGGAUUGGUCCUUGGUGCCUUAUUUAGUUCAUUUGGUGAGGUCAUGUUUUCCUGGAUGGUGUUGAUACUUGCAGAUGUUUGUCUGGGUCUUGGCAUUGAAGACUUAGGUAUUAAUUAUAGUCUUUUCAGUCUGGGCUUGUUUGUACCCAUCCUUCUUAUGAAGGCAUUCAGGUAUUUGAAAUGACUUGGAUGUUAUUAUCUAAGCUGUACCUGAUUUAGAAGGCACCCCAAGCCCAGUAGCAUUGUGAUUCUUACAGACUUAUAGAGGUACCGCCUUGAUGGUCUUGGACAAGAUCUGGGAGAAUUCUCUGUAUUAUAAAGCAGAGACUCUUGUACUCUUCCCUUACUUUCUCCCAAACAAAUGGAGUCUUUCUCUUUCUCUCUGUUCUGAGCCACCUAAAGUUGGUGGUGGAGUGACAAAAUCACCAUUGUGACAAAAUCACCACUAUGACCAUACUGGGUCAGACCUGAAGCCAGCACAGCACUGGGUCUCACCCAAAGACUGCUAUAAUCACUCCCUGGCCGCUGCCUAUGUUCACUCAAGGUGAUGGGGCUCAACAAUCAGCAAAUGGCAAAGCCAGCCAGGCCUGUGUCUUCUUCUCAGGGUGGAUACAGAAAUGCUCUCUGCACUGCGCUGCCACUGCUGGGGGAUGGAGGGAUUUUGUGUCAGCAACUCAAGACUGUUUUUUCUACCUCUUCGGUGCCUCUUUCAGUGAUAUGAAGUUAAAACCAGGUCUCUUCUUCAGCCCUUGGACACAGUGUCAUCCCUAUUGGAGUCAAUAAAGAGGCAUGGUUUGCAUAUCCAUCAUAGGUCAUGACUGACAGUCUAGAGGUUGGAGCUAACAUUGAAAAACAUAUUAUUAUGGGACCAAGUGUUUCCCAGAUGAGGAUCUUCUGAUUCAAAGACCUACUACAUCCUAGACAGGGCUCCAGGUGUUAGAGAGGGGCGUAUGGAGUAUUGAGACCUACUGCGUGUGCAGACCGGAUGAAGGGCUGUGUUAAUGACUACAGCAGAAGCAGUGACCCAGAGAAGGUUGGUGAGAUGAACUUCGUCAAAGUUCUGUUGCCUGAGAAAGAAUCAAGCUGUGGUGGGAGACCCAGCGAUUGCUUUGGAGCACUGGUUAUGAAAUUCGCUGUACAUUGGAAUCAUCUGAAAAAGCUUAAAAACACUGAAGUCUGGGCACUGUCCUAGGUACUGUGGGGACCAAAACAUUCAGACCUGCUUCUAAGGAGUGCAGUCCAUGGAAGAGUCAGAAUAACAAAUCAACAUUUGUACUACACCAGACCAGCUCUCUUCUAAGGUUGCUAUGACUUCCUAGCAGGCAUUCUAAUAUAUGCAUUCUUCAUGACAACUGUGUGAAACAUAUUAAUAUCCUCAUUGUUAAAGAUAAAGAAACUAAAUCUCAGGAAGAAAAACUAAGUGAAGACAAAAGAAGGAUUUGAACUGAGAUUAUUCUGGGAGAUUCUGGGAGUCUUUUCUCCAACACUCCAAUGGCAUCUGACUAUGUGAGCUGAUAAAGUCUAUAGAUCUGUGAGUUGGCAGAGCUGUGAAAAGUUUCUCCCUUCUUAGGACAUAAGCAGGAAAUCUUGAUACAGGAAUCAAUAAGGGGAAAGAGAAAAUGUUUAUUAGAACAAAUUUAUUAUAUUUGGGUGAACAAAAUACU